AGAGUUUGAUCAUGGCUCAGAACGAACGCUGGCGGCGGGGUUUAGGCAUGCAAGUCGCACGAGAAAGGAGCAAUCUGAGUACAGUGGCGUAAGGGUGAGUAAUGGUUCGUCAACGUACCGAGCAGACGUGAAUAAUUUCCCGAAAGGGAUUGUAAUGCACGAUGAGACCACGGGCUGUACGCAGCUUGGGGUCAAAGGUCGGGGAUCCUUCGGGACCCGGCGCUGUUUGAGCGGACGAACUCUGAUUAGCUAGUUGGCGGGGUAACGGCCCACCAAGGCGAUGAUCAGUAGCCGGGCUGAGAGGCUGUCCGGCCACACGGGCACUGAGACACUGGCCCGACUCCUACGGGAGGCUGCAGUCGCGAAUUUUUCACAAUGGGCGCAAGCCUGAUGAAGCCACGCCGCGUGCGGGAUGAAGGCCCUCUGGGUUGUAAACCGCUGUCGAGGGAGGGGAACCGCUGGAUGUGAAUAGUAUCCAGUCUGACUGCUCUCUGAAGGAAGCCCCGGCAAAACAUGUGCCAGCAGCCGCGGUAAUACAUGUGGGGCAAGCGUUGUUCGGAAUUACUGGGCAUAAAGGGUGCGUAGGUGGUCUAUUAAGUCAGGGGUGAAAUCCCGCGGCCCAACCGUGGAACUGCCUUUGAUACUGAUGGACUUGAGUGCGUGAGGGGUAGGGGGAACGAGCAGUGUAGCGGUGAAAUGCGUAGAUAUUGCUCGGAAGGCCAGAGCCGAAGGGGCCCUACUGGUGCGCAACUGACACUGAGGCACGAAAGCGUGGGGAGCAAACAGGAUUAGAUACCCUAGUAGUCC
rnacentral:rRNA from 1 species